GGAACUGUUUACAUUUUAUGCGAAUGCCAACAUCCUAUUGUUAUUGUUUGUUAUGUUGCCAAGUCUACCGGAGAUUUGUCAAAGCCUUUGUUUAUUUUUAAUUUUGUAUACGUAUACUUUGGGGAAAUCUUAAGAAAAUAAUAAUAUAAUUAGAGCUUACUACAUUUGAAAAUUUCGAUAUUUAUAAUUUUAUUUAGUACUUAAUAAGAUUCAAGUCAAAGAUUACAAGAAAUAUUUGUAAAUUUCGUCAUUUUUACAUCAACCGUUAUGAUUAAUUUUUAAUCUGGCAAUGCCGCUCUGUUGUUAUAGUAUUUUCUAUAGUAGGGGAAUUGGACCAAUUGGACGUGGUCAACAGUGUUAAUAAACAGCUGAUUGGCAAGAUCAGCUUUUAUUUUUCCAUAUUUCUUAACUAUUAAUAAACUAUUAGUGUAUAAUUGUUUCAUUUUAUAUAAAGGACUAAAAUUAGCAUUUAAAAUGGGUCUACACUGGGAAAUAUGUAAGAAUUAAAGAAUUUAAACAUCGUGAAGUGUCAUUUCAAAAAUUUCUAAAAGAUAGUGAGAGAAAAAUUAAAUGGUUUUCCCUGUUAAGAUUUAUUCAUAGCAUGAUAUUAAAAAGUCGAGCAAAAGAGAGCUCAAAAACAGCUGAUUGUAAGGAAUUGAAGAAAAUAUUUAAAAACUGAUGAAUUUUCACAGCCAUUUAUGUCGCGAUUUAUGGUGUUUCAACUGUUUUAACAUCACCUAGGAAAUUAACAUUAAGACUGCAUUAAGAUAUUAGGAUCCUGCAGAUAACUAGAUAAGAAGUAUGAUCUUGUUAGCAUACCUAUUCCGUCAUAAUAUGAAGUGAAGAUAUUCAUGGUGUGGAAGUUGUUACUUUAAUUACAUAGUGCAUAUGAAAUUGGUCCUUUACAUCACAUUUAAAAUCGACGUAAUGCUACUAUGCAAAAUAGUGAGAGAUGUGAACCCUAGGGAGAGCCAACUGGACGCCGUUUUUUUUGAUCAUAACAGUAUUUAUGUCUUAUUAUUCAUAUUUUAUAAAACUAGAAAUUUAUGAUGUAUACUAAUUAUUAUACAUACUAAUUAAUGUAAUAUUUAAUAAUUAUGUAAUAAGUUAGUAGUUAUUAGUAGUAAUAAGUUAAUAAACCAUACGAUCGAAAAAAAACGGCGUCAAAGGCGACUGGGGAAUGAAAAUAUG